rnacentral:rRNA from 1 species
GACGAACGCUGGCGGCGUGCUUAACACAUGCAAGUCGAACGAAGAGCGAUGGAAGCUUGCUUCUAUCAAUCUUAGUGGCGAACGGGUGAGUAACGCGUAAUCAACCUGCCCUUCAGAGAGGGACAACAGUUGGAAACGACUGCUAAUACCGCAUACGAUCUAAUCUCGGCAUCGAGGAUAGAUGAAAGGUGGCCUCUACAUGUAAGCUAUCACUGAAGGAGGGGAUUGCGUCUGAUUAGCUAGUUGGAGGGGUAACGGCCCACCAAGGCGAUGAUCAGUAGCCGGUCUGAGAGGAUGAACGGCCACAUUGGGACUGAGACACGGCCCAGACUCCUACGGGAGGCAGCAGUGGGGAAUCUUCCGCAAUGGACGAAAGUCUGACGGAGCAACGCCGCGUGAGCGAUGACGGCCUUCGGGUUGUAAAGCUCUGUUAAUCGGGACGAAAGGCCUCCUUGCGAAUAGGGAGAAGGAUUGACGGUACCGGAAUAGAAAGCCACGGCUAACUACGUG